GCGGGUGUAGUUCAGUGGUAGAACGACUGCUUGCCAAGCAGUAGGUCGUGGGUUCGAAUCCCAUCGCCCGCUCUA
rnacentral:tRNA from 1 species